rnacentral:tRNA from 1 species
GGAUUGUGGCUCAGUGGUAGAGCGCUCGCCUAGCAUGUGCAAGGCCCUGGGUUCGAUCCUCAGCACCA